CCUACGGGAGGCAGCAGUGAGGAAUAUUGGUCAAUGGCCGAGAGGCUGAACCAGCCAAGUCGCGUGAGGGAAGACGGCCCUACGGGUUGUAAACCUCUUUUGUCGGGGAGCAAAGCGAGUCACGUGUGACUCAUUGAGAGUACCCGAAGAAAAUGCAUCGGCUAACUCCGUGCCAGCAGCCGCGGUAAUACGGAGGAUGCGAGCGUUAUCCGGAUUUAUUGGGUUUAAAGGGUGCGCAGGCGGAGGUGCAAGUCAGCGGUCAAAUUGCGGGGCUCAACCCCGUACUGCCGUUGAAACUGCAGCCCUUGAGUGCGCGAGAAGUAUGCGGAAUGCGUGGUGUAGCGGUGAAAUGCAUAGAUAUCACGCAGAACUCCGAUUGCGAAGGCAGCAUACCGGCGCGCAACUGACGCUCAUGCACGAAAGCGUGGGUAUCGAACAGGAUUAGAUACCCGUGUAGUC
rnacentral:rRNA from 1 species